rnacentral:misc_RNA from 1 species
UCCGGUUUAUCACCGGCAGUCUCCAUAGAGUUCUCGGCUUUACCCGUUAGUAACUAUGAAUAAGGGUUGCGCUCGUUGCGGGACUUAACCCAACAUCUCACGACACGAGCUGACGACAGCCAUGCAGCACCUCUACAGCGGCCUCCGAAGAGGGCGACUCAUCUCUGAGCCUUUCCACUGCAGUUCAAACCCAGGUAAGGUUCUGCGCGUCGCGUCGAAUUAAGCCACAUGCUCCGCCGCUUGUGCGGGCCCCCGUCAAUUCCUUUGAGUUUCAGCCUUGCGGCCGUACUCCCCAGGCGGGGCACUUAAUGCGUUAGCGCCGGCACUCGGAGGGUCGCUCCCCCAAGCACCUAGUGCCCAUCGUUUACGGCGUGGACUAC